GUGAUUGGUAGCUGGUGAUUGGUGAUUGGCGGCCAGCCACGCAUGAUUUGAGUCCUCAUGGUAGAACUACCAGCAAGCUUAACAUUUCUCCCAUAAAGACUCGAUCACCGAUAAGUAUGUACAGAAUUUAAUUAAAUAACGACAUGAGAAUAUUUUGCAUGGUAAAUCUUUGGCAUGAGCCCCGUCACUGAUCCAGGAUGACGUGCGGACUCGGCGUAUCCUGCCAGGAAUAGCAGGGGCGGAGCCUUCCCCAAAAGAGAGGACGUAGGCCUACGCCGGAAAUAGGUGAUAACUCGGCAUGUCCUGCCGGGACUAGCAGGAGCGGAGCCGACCCCAAAAAAAGAAUAGCGAAAGGGGGCUGACCCGAGGCUGCCGUGUGACGCCGCAGACGCAACUUCCGGGGUAGCCGGCUUGGUUUGCUUUGUUUGGUUUGGUUAGCAGGACGCUUAGCGUCGACCUGCUAUCUCGGUUUGUAUCGGUUUGUAUCUACUUUUCGGUAUUUAUAUCUGUGACCUGUUCUGCAUACUCUGUAUUGUAUUCGCUGCUUCCUCCCUGGAGCUCCGUCUGCAUCAACCACGGUGGUGGUAUCCUGCCCCUGCGACGAUCAGCAAGCUACUUUCAGCUGUCGCCGCAUCACACCUGCAACCAUUACAGCUAUGGAAGAUAAGUUAUCUGGUUCACUUGCACCUCUCUGUAACUAUAGUGGUUCUGUGGAGUGCCUUACUGAUGACCUCAACAUUGCCUUGUCUGUUGCCAUUGAUUCAGUUGCUCCG
ensembl:lncRNA